GACGGGGCCCGGCACAAGCGUGGAGUAUGUGGUUAAUUCGAUGCAACGCGAAGAACCUACCUGUCUUGACAUCCCGGAGACCCUUAGGAAACUAGGGGUGCUUCCAUCUGGAAGAAUCUGGAGACAGGUGCUGCAUGGCUGUCGUCAGCUCGUGUCGUGAGAUGUUGGGUUAAGUCCCGCAACGAGCGCAACCCUUGCCUUUAGUUGCCAGCAGUUCGGCUGGGCACUCUAAAGGGACUGCCGGUGUUAAACCGGAGGAAGGUGGGGAUGACGUCAAGUCCUCAUGGCCUUUAUGACCAGGGCUACACACGUACUACAAUGGCCGAUACAAAGGGCAGCGACACUGCGAGGUGAAGCCAAUCCCGUAAAAUCGGUCUCAGUCCGGAUUGGAGUCUGCAACUCGACUCCAUGAAGUUGGAAUCGCUAGUAAUCGUGGAUCAGCAUGCCACGGUGAAUACGUUCCCGGGCCUU
rnacentral:rRNA from 1 species